rnacentral:rRNA from 1 species
CCUACGGGUGGCAGCAGUGGGGAAUAUUGGGCAAUGGACGCAAGUCUGACGCAGCAACGCCGCGUGAAGGAAGAAGGCUUUCGGGUUGUAAACUUCUUUUAAGGGGGAAGAGGAGAAGACGGUACUCCUUGAAUAAGCCCCGGCUAAUGACGUGCGACCAGCCGCGGUAAUACGUAGGUGGCAAGGGUGGUCCGGAUUUACUGGGGGUAAAGGGCGUGCAGCCGGCGAGACAAGUCAGAUGUUAAAUCCACGGGCUCAACCCGGGAACUGCAUUUGAAACUGUUUCCCUGGAGUGUCGGAGAGGUAAUCGGAAUUCCUUGUGUAGCGGUGAAAUGCGUAGAUAUAAGGAAGAACACCAGUGGCGAAGGCGGAUUACUGGACGAUAACUGACGGUGAGGCGCGAAAGCGUGGGGAGCAAACAGGAUUAGAUACCCCAGUAGUC